rnacentral:lncRNA from 1 species
GGAAGAUAUAACUAGUGUGUAAGUUGUAGGUAGUCUGAUAAGUGGGCUAGCGCAGCUGGAUGUUGCAGCAUAGUUUCAUAUGAGAGGGUCCAGGUUUGAUUCCCUUUCAAUGCCUUCUUUUUUUUUGCCUAUUUUAAACUACAGGCCCGAAAAAAACUGGAGAAGAUGGGAUCCAAGGAGGGUGGUCGCUCGGGAGGAGGUGGGGUUGAAGGGAGAAGAGUCGUGUGGUACUUUUAGCAAUGUGGCACACGUGUGCCAAAUAUCACAGUCCUAUAGCAGUAUAUAUAUACAGCCACUACCAAUAAAUCUGUACCUGUCGGUGAAAAUACAAACACUCACACAUACAGAAAGGAGGGAGUUCUUUUAAGGAAAGAACUUUGGCGUUUUUG